UCAGACAAGGUGUAGCGGGAACAUGGCUUCUUCUUAUUAGCCAAAAUUCUGUCAUCGGAGGGAAUUCAGGGUUCGAAUCCCUGUGUCUGAA